rnacentral:rRNA from 1 species
GACGAACGCUGGCGGCGUGCUUAACACAUGCAAGUCGAACGGAAAGGCCUCUUUCGGGGGGUACUCGAGUGGCGAACGGGUGAGUAACACGUGAGUAACCUGCCCUUGACUUUGGGAUAACUUCAGGAAACUGGGGCUAAUACCGGAUAGGAGCUCCUGCUGCAUGGUGGGGGUUGGAAAGUUUCGGCGGUUGGGGAUGGACUCGCGGCUUAUCAGCUUGUUGGUGGGGUAGUGGCUUACCAAGGCUUUGACGGGUAGCCGGCCUGAGAGGGUGACCGGCCACAUUGGGACUGAGAUACGGCCCAGACUCCUACGGGAGGCAGCAGUGGGGAAUAUUGCACAAUGGGUGGAAGCCUGAUGCAGCAACGCCGUGUGCGGGAUGACGGCCUUCGGGUUGUAAACCGCUUUCGCUCAUGACGAAGCUUUGUGUGACGGUAGUGGGUAAAGAAGCACCGGCUAACUAUGUG